CUCCAUUAAGAUGUGCAAGAGCCAAGGCCACCCAGAGUGGAAGGUUCCUGGCCUGCCCCGGGCCCCGGCUGCAGAGAGCUCUGCGGAUGCCAUGGGACCAGAUGCCGCGUGAGCCAGGGCAGAGUGGAGCCCGUGCUGCGCCCAGAGCCCCGGCAUGAGCGGCUGCCCCCAGCUGUGACACCCGCCCGAAAACCAGCCUUUCAAUAAAGCUUCUGCCUGC